CAAAAAUGCAGUGUUCUGCUAACGGCUCCAUCUGAAGGUCUCAGCUUUUCCUUGGCUUCUCCCCCCCUCUUUUUUAUUUUUUGGCAAAGCCUGGCAGACAUCUGUAGCAGGAACAUGCUGAAAUUGUGAUUGAAAUAAGGAACUGUGAUCAUCCUUAUCAUCUGCAUAUGUCCCCGCAUGGUGGUGAUGGAGAAUGAAUGCGACAGGGAACAGAUGUACAGGGCUGGGAAACUGCAACAGGAAAGUAAAGAAUGAGUUUCUCAGUGGAUAAUUUGUGCAAGGAAAUCUUUGAGAGUGAGUCCUUUGUCUGGUCCUGAGAUUUCUGCAACUGAAGCCAAGUUUUGACCUCUUCUUGUUUUCUACUUAUUUUUGCAGUAGCUAGUCCAGACUUAAUAGGAAGAUGG
rnacentral:lncRNA from 1 species